UACAGAGGUGGCAAGCGUUGUUCGGAGUUACUGGGCGUAAAGGGUGUGUAGGCGGUUGUUUAAGUUUGGUGUGAAAUCUCCCGGCUCAACUGGGAGGGUGCGCCGAAUACUGAAUGACUCGAGUGCGGGAGAGGAAAGUGGAAUUCCUGGUGUAGCGGUGAAAUGCGUAGAUAUCAGGAGGAACACCGGUGGUGUAGACGGCUUUCUGGACCGUAACUGACGCUAAGGCGCGAAAGCGUGGGGAGCGAACAGG
rnacentral:rRNA from 1 species